rnacentral:rRNA from 1 species
UGCCAGCAGCCGCGGUAAUACGGAGGGUGCAAACGUUGCUCGGAAUCAUUGGGCGUAAAGCGCGCGUAGGCGGCUUGAUAAGUCGGAUGUGAAAGCCCAGGGCUUAACCCUGGAAUUGCAUUCGAUACUGCAUGGCUAGAGUAUGGUAGAGGGAAGUGGAAUUUCCGGUGUAGCGGUGAAAUGCGUAGAUAUCGGAAGGAACACCAGUGGCGAAGGCGACUUCCUGGGCCAAUACUGACGCUGAGGUGCGAAAGCGUGGGGAGCAAACAGGAUUAGAUA